ensembl:lncRNA
UCCCUAAAUCUCUCUGUACCCCACAUGACUCUCUCUCUCAAAAAUAAACAAUACGAUACAUAGUAUAGUGUUUCUAAAUAAGUGGGCCAAUAAAGGUAUUUAUAAACUGUCUCUCCAUCAUUAUAUUAUGAUACUCUACCCCAUUCUUCCCCUCCCUGAGACUUGGCUGAAAGGCAUUGAGUUGCAUCUUCCAAACCUUAUUAUAUGCCUGCAUAUUUAGGCUAAUGGAGGCUGUAAGAUGGAGGCUGGGAGGUAGGGAGAGUAAUAGAGGAAGUAAGGUGGAGUCUGGGAGAGAGGGAGACUGAUGGAGGCAGUAAGGUGGAGGCUGGGAGGUAGGGAAAGUGAUGGAGGCAGUAAGAUGGAGACUGGGAGGUAGGGAGAGUAAUGGAGGAAGUAAGGUGGAGGCUGGGAGGUAGGGAGAGUGAUGGAGGCAGUAAGGUGGAGGAUGGGAGGUAUGGAAAGUGAUGGAGGCAGUUAGAUGGAGGCUGGGAGGUAGAGAGAGUAAUGGAGGAAGUAAGGUGGAGGCUGGGAUAGAGGGAGAGUGGUGGAAGAAGUAAGGUGGAGGCUGAGAGGUAGGGAGAGUGAUGGAGGCAGUAAGAUGGAGGCUGGGAGGUAGGGAGAGUGAUGGAGGCAGUAAGAUGGAGGCUGGGAGGUAGGGAUAGUAAUAGAGGAAGUAAGGUGGAGGCUGGGAAAGAGGCAGAGUGAUGGAGGCAGUAAGGUGGAGGCUGGGAGAUAGGGAGAGUGAUAGAGGAAGUAAGGUGAAGGCUGGGAGAGAGGGAGAGUGAUGGAGGCAGUAAGGUGGAGGCUGGGAGGUAGGGAGAGUGAUGGAGGCAGUAAGGUGGAGGCUGGGAUAGAGGGAGACUAAUAGAGGAAGUAAGGUGGAGACUGGGAGAUAGGGAGAGUGAUGGAGGCAGUAAAUUGGAGGCUGGGAUAGAGGGAGAGUGAUGGAGGCAGUAAGGUGGAGGCUGGGAGGUAGGGAGAGUAAUAGAGGAAUUAAGGUGGAGGCUAGGAGAAAGGGAGAGUGAUGGAGGCAGUACGGUGGAGGCUGGGAUAGAGGGAGAGUGAUGGAGGCAGUAAGGUGGAGGCUCGGAUAGAGGGAGAGUGAUGGAGGCAGUAAGGUGGAGGCUGGGAUAGAGGGAGAGUGAUGGAGGCAGUACGGUGGAGGCUGGGAUAGAGGGAGAGUGAUGGAGGCAGUAUGGUGGAGGCUGGGAUAGAGGGAGAGUGAUGGAGGCAGUAAGGUGGAGGCUCGGAUAGAGGGAGAGUGAUGGAGGCAGUAAGGUGGAGGCUGGGAUAGAGGGAGAGUGAUGGAGGCAGUACAGUGGAGAGAGUGUUGAGUAUAGUUGAGUUCUACAUUGGCAUGAGUUGUGGGAACUUUAUGUAAGGAAAUGAUAAGGAAAAAACACAUUAUUUUGCCUUUACACCCAGUGUGUGUGUGUGUGUCUGUAUUUGUGGUCCCAUGCAGUCCCUUCUCGGUUUUUCCUCCUCUCCCUCCUUCUCCCUCUCGCCACAUUAGUGUCAUGCUUCCCACUCUGAUCUGUCCUCCGCUCACUCCCUCCUCUCCUC